AUUGAACGCUGGCGGCAUGCCUUACACAUGCAAGUCGAACGGUAACAGGUCUUCGGUUGCUGACGAGUGGCGAACGGGUGAGUAAUACAUCGGAACGUGCCCGAUCGUGGGGGAUAACGAGGCGAAAGCUUUGCUAAUACCGCAUACGAUCUACGGAUGAAAGCGGGGGAUCUUCGGACCUCGCGCGGACGGAGCGGCCGAUGGCAGAUUAGGUAGUUGGUGGGAUAAAAGCUUACCAAGCCGACGAUCUGUAGCUGGUCUGAGAGGAUGAUCAGCCACACUGGGACUGAGACACGGCCCAGACUCCUACGGGAGGCAGCAGUGGGGAAUUUUGGACAAUGGGCGAAAGCCUGAUCCAGCCAUGCCGGGUGGAGGAUGAAGGCCUUCGGGUUGUAAACUGCUUUUGUACGGAACGAAAAGUCUCUUUCUAAUUAAGAGGGGUCAUGACGGUACCGUAAGAAUAAGCACCGGCUAACUACGU
rnacentral:rRNA from 1 species